GUCAUCUCUUGGGCACAAUGUACCAAAGUCAGACCCCAAAACUCUCUGAAAUGUGGGCAGCACCUCUCUCCCACCUGCUCCCCACUGCAGGUUCUUUGCCUACUGCAAGCACUGGAACAUUACCAUGCCCUGGGGUGGAAGAAGUGACAGAGAAGAUGUUUGAAGAUGUUUUGUUUAUUUUUUCCUGAGUCAUUCGAGUGGUGUUUCCCUAGAGCAGUGCCUAGCUAACAGCCAACACACAAGCCUACAGGUUUCAGGUUUCGUUAUGAACAUGAAACUCCGAGCAGAUUCGCCAGAGGAUGUUUCAAAGAUGCACUCGAUAGCUACAGUCCUGCUGAGACCGUGUCUGAAAUCAGACCUGAAGAGUCUUCGUUCAGCUGAAAACUUCACUGUCUCCCCCAGAGGACUGCACACAGCAUGGAGGAAAGCCUGUUCAUGUUGCUCAAUGCCAGCUUUUUCAAGUCAUGUUCUGAGGAUGUUCUUAUGCACACAGUAACUUCCAAGCUGUCUUCCAUUGAAAUCAGAAAGCUACAACCCUGCACUCCUGAACUCUUUUAUUGAAAUUAAAAGCAUCAGAAAGAGGGGGGAAAAGCCCAAACAUCAGUUCAAAUCUUUUUCCCUUUCUUUUGCAGAGUUGUCAUGCCUUGGUUGUAAAUUAACAUUUUAGGACUUCAGAUGAGAAUGGAGCAUUUGGCUGCCUCAUUUCAUGCUAGAUCAGGAACAGCACAGGAGAGCACUUACUUUGCAAGAAUGGGAUGGGGACUGCUGCCCAGAAAUCUGCCAGUUCUCUUCAGCCUGUGCAGCCCAGCUCUUGGGCCCCUUUCAUCUCAGCCCCUGCUGCAUGGUAACACCUGCUCUGGAACUGCACGGGGAAUGGAGCCGAUAAAGGUAGUGCUUUGCAGACCUGAGUGUGCCGGAGCGCCUUAGCUUUUUGGAUGGCCCUGCUUUCUCUGGCCUGGAUCCAAUACACCACUUAGACAUCUGCUUAACUUUAAGCAUGUGAGUAUCCCCUUUGAAGUCCUAUGUAUAUUGUUUUGGUGGACUGAGGUCAAUGAGCUCAGUACCUUGCAGGAUUGAGCUCCUGAAUGUCAGAUUUGAUUAAAUGCUCCCCCUCCUCCCCCUCCUCUCCUACCAUGAAAGCCUGAUCAGAGCUGAAACAGCCUCAGAAAGAAAAAGGCAGCUGGUGGGAAGUGACUCUGACUCAGCUGUGGUAGCUUGGUCUUAAAUUGUUGCAGAUCUAACCAGAAGAAAAGCAGAGCAAAAAGUCUGAGCAGAGAUCUGGUCAAAAAUGAAACCAUCUCCUCUUCUAUGAGGGGGCUGUGAGAUCUCACAUAGGAGCAGCUAUUCAUCCAUCGCGCUGCCUCUUUCUCUUCAGAUCCCUCUUUUUGUUGCUUCAGGGUCCAGCCGCCACUUUAUCUGAGUGGUGACUGCUCCCCGCUAAUUGUGCUCCCGUUUUCUCCUGUGACUCGGCUCCAAAAUGUGCACUCUGCAAGCGGAAUGAGCUGCGUGCUCUCCCAGUCUGCUACUUGUCAACUCGCAUCAGUUUCAGGUCAGGAAAGCUAACCGGGAACAAGGCGCUGCAGCAUUUGAACUCAACCUUGCUUUGCUGAGGAACAAACUGACAAUUAGUACAGGGAUCAGCAUCAAAAAAGAGCAACCCAGCAUGAAGCCUGUCUAAUUAGUCAUAUGAACGGAGGGCUUCCCCUCCACUUCCUCAAGAACACAUGCCUGUCAGAUCUUAUACCAAGAGACUUCUCUCCCUAACAUAAUACCGAAAUUAGGUUGAGAACAGGUAGCCCGGCUGAAGGGCUUGUGUAAGCAACGGGAGCUCAGCUGCAGCCUUUAGCUUCAUGUGCAUGUCCGUUGCUGCAGCAUCGUCAUGAACACUUGCUUUGCAAGUGAUUGUGGGAUGCUUCUCUCCUUGCAAAACACACCAAAAAAUGGCAUCGAUCAUUUUGCUAAUCCUCUUGAUUUAAUAACGCUUCUUGUUUAGAUGGAAAAAUGAGCAAAGGGAAAAAUGAGAGAUGAAAGCUGAGUGACAGUCUCCUAAUCCUGGAGAAUUGUGCUGUUUGAGAGACUCUGUGCAUCUGACUCUUUCUUUUUUUCAAGUUUGCUUUAUGAACCAAAAUGUCCAUUUGUCUCCUGCAAGACAAAAUAUGUAGCAGCAAAGCUUCAAUUGCUUUUAAUUUUGCUAUAGUGUCUGGGUAGUGGCUCAAACUUGAGAUGAAGUUGGGACCAUGGUGGAUUCGAUCUGUGAACGCAAGAGAAGACCAAAGCUCGUGAAGCUUAAUGGCUUGUCUACAUGGAGACAGGUAGAAAAAGCAGCCAAACGAAUGAAAAGGGUAUGUUUUAUUAGCUAAGCCCCAUUUCAAUUCUUGAGUCAAACUCCUAGUUCAGUUUGUCUUUUAUUGUGGUUCUGAUGAGUUCACUUUGGAAGUGAAGCAAAUGACAUCAAAUAAAAGCAGCCUUGGUUUUAACAAGA